rnacentral:snRNA from 1 species
GUGUUCACUCCAGCACAUAUACUAAAAUUGGAACCAUACCAAGAAAAUUAGCAUGUCCCCUGCACAAGGAUGACACACAAAUUCUUGAAGCAUUCCAUAUUUUU